GUUACGGGCAAUGUUUACAGCAACGACAUAAGAAGAGCGUUGAUUUGAUUGAAAUACUUAGGUUCGUAUGAGCAGUUGCCAGCGGGCUCGUGGGCAUGCCCAGUGCCUUCCUCCCGCUUCUGGCUACUUCGAGCGUGGCUGUUUGCUGCAUGAGCAGUAGCAGCAAGUAGCCAGAUGCUACCCGGAAUUUUUUUUCCGGCGCACCCCAAGCUGCCAGAUUCGCGCAUGCGCAGAGCAAGCUGAGUUAUAGGGGGGGCGGGGAACCGUGUAUAUGUUUCGUGUUUUCGUAAUAUUGCUGGUCUCUUCGUUUACAGCUCUCACGUCAAUUGAAAUCAAAACAGAUUUCUGUGGCCGGGAGCCAUCAAGUGAAUUAUAUACAUUCUCAUAACAAUGAAAGACCAAAGUACCGAAUACUGAAGCACAACGGAAGGAAAUUGCUCGAGAAUUUGAGGUUCACUGGAACUCUCCUCAUUGCAUAGGGUCUUUAGAUGGAAAACGUGCAAAUUGUUAAUCCUGCUCAUGCUGGAAGCACUUAAUACAACUAUAAAGACACUGGCAACAUUAUGUCAAUGGCAUUAGUGGAUGCUGAUUGCCAGGUUCUGCAUGCGGAUAUAGGAGUGCAGGGACAUAUUUCACAUGGAGGUGUAUUUGACAGUACAACCUUUAAUAAAGCUCUUCAGGCAGGUGAGCUGCACAUACCAUGACCGGAAUCUCUGCCUUUAAGAGCAGUGUCCACUUCCUUUGUAAUUGUUGCUGAUGCUUUUGCACUACAAGAACAUGUCAUGAAACCCUUUCCAGGAAAUCAUAACACAGGUAGCAGAGGAAGAUUAUUUAACUACAGGUUUUUAGGCUGACAAGCUGUCGAAAAUGCCUUUGGAAAACUAUCCUCUGUUUUUGUGUUUUACAAAAACCUGUUCAUCUUGAUCCCCAUAAAGCAACUAUAAUGAUU